rnacentral:rRNA from 1 species
CCGGCUACGGAUGGCCAUGCGGCGCAUUAGCUGGUUGGCGGGGUAACGGCCCACCAAGGCGACGAUGCGUAGGGGUUCUGAGAGGAAGGUCCCCCACACUGGUACUGAGACACGGACCAGACUCCUACGGGAGGCAGCAGUGAGGAAUAUUGGUCAAUGGGCGCGAGCCUGAACCAGCCAAGUCGCGUGAGGGAAGACGGUCCUAUGGAUUGUAAACCUCUUUUGUCGGGGAGCAAAAGACGCCACGCGUGGCGUUCCGAGAGUACCCGAAGAAAAAGCAUCGGCUAACUCCGUGCCAGCAGCCGCGGUAAUACGGAGGAUGCGAGCGUUAUCCGGAUUUAUUGGGUUUAAAGGGUGCGCAGGCGGAAGAUCAAGUCAGCGGUAAAAUUGAGAGGCUCAACCUCUUCGAGCCGUUGAAACUGGUUUUCUUGAGUGAGCGAGAAGUAUGCGGAAUGCGUGGUGUAGCGGUGAAAUGCAUAGAUAUCACGCAGAACUCCGAUUGCGAAGGCAGCAUACCGGCGCUCAACUGACGCUCAUGCACGAAAGUGUGGGUAUCGAACAGGAUUAGAUACCCUGGUAGUCCACACAGUAAACGAUGAAUACUAAUUGUUCGGGGAGAAUGAUCCCUGA